rnacentral:misc_RNA from 1 species
GACUCCUCGAACAACUGGGAUGCAAAUUUCUGAAAGAAAUCCUAUGCCACUGUCUGAACGUGAAAAAAUGCAAAAUCCGGACACUGAAUCUCAAUACAUGAAAGAUCAACAGAAUCAACAGACUCUGGGCAUGGAGCAACCUGGCAACCUUAAGAAUCAAGCCAAGCAGAUACCAUUUGUGUUAUUGUUGCCUGCCUUAAAGCCCCAUCUUGAUAAAGACAGAGAGAUGCAACUUCAGACUCUGUUUAAUAAAUUGAGGAAAAAUGAUAUCGCGAAAGAACAAUUUGUCAGGGAGAAAUAUUGUAGGGGACCAAGUGCUAAGGUUGGCGGUAGCUCAAUUGCAGUCACAGCCAGGUUCCAACCAAUCCCAGUUACAGUCUCAAGCUUUUGCACGCCAACACAAUGUGAGAAUGCCUGUCAGUGCUAGUGCCUCUUCGGCAGUCCAAGCUCUGGCUGAUUCUAGCUACCCAUCUGCCGAAAAUAAUGCUCAGAAAUCUCGAGAGGUGGAACGUCAGCCAGAUUCUCAUGGAAUGCAAGUAAGCAAAAUGCCUUCCUCCACUGCUAGCAUAGUCAAUCAAGAUAGAGAGCGCUCUUCAAUUUCUGUUCCAGGACAUAGCAAGCAGCAGCAACAUUUGCAUUUUCCACCGACUUCCUUUCCAAUGUAUGGAAGUAAUAGUGCUACUUAUCACCCUUAUUCUGGAACAAAUGUCAAUACUUCAGGAUCUUCCAUGAAGCCACAAUCUCAUGAUUUGCAAAUGAGGCAAAUUUCACAUCAAACCAUGGGCACAACACAAAUAGGAGGUUCAACCCAGGCAAUGAACAUGAUGAAUGUGCCGAAAUUUGAGAGGCAAAAUUCUGUUGCUGAUCCUAACAGAGUGCAGAGUGGUUCUAUUUCCCAAUAUACAAACAAAUCAGCAUUGCAACAAAGUUCAGUUCCAUGGCAAGCACCAAUGAAUAAAGAGCAAAGUUCUGCCCCUUUCUUAUCAACAAAUUAUGUAAAACAAGAACCAGUUGAACAGGCUGUUGAGCAGCAGCAGAAAUCUCAGUUGUCUAACCCUCAGGGUUUGUCUGCCACAACUGUUGAGCAGGGCNNNNNNNNNGCCAGGAAAUUCAAAGGAUGUCUCUUUAGAAAAGCAGUCUGCAAAAGUUGGUUUCUCUGCACCCAUUGGUUUGGCACCCUCAAAUUCAGUUUCUCCUUCCAUUUCAACUCCAUUGGAGCCAAAUGUCCAGGUAGGCUCUCGAAUCCCAUCUGUAGCUGCUUCUGCUGGAGUUAAUGCAAGAACAC